rnacentral:piRNA from 1 species
UGACAUGGAUGGAUUUUUAUGAAUCGC